GAUGAACGCUAGCUACAGGCUUAACACAUGCAAGUCGAGGGGCAGCAUGAACAUAGCUUGCUAUGUUUGAUGGCGACCGGCGCACGGGUGCGUAACACGUAUCCAAUCUACCCAUGGCUCGGGGAUAGCCUUUCGAAAGAAAGAUUAAUACCCGAUGGUCUCGGUUUAAGGCAUCUUAGACUGAGUAAAGAUUUAUCGGCGAUGGAUGAGGAUGCGUCUGAUUAGGUAGAUGGCGGGGUAACGCCCACCAUGCCUAGAUCAGUAGGGGUUCUGAGAGGAAGGUCCCCCANAUUGGAACUGGAGACACGGUCCAAAACUCCUAACGGGAGGCAGCAGUGAGGAAUAUUGGUCAAUGGACGAGAGUCUGAACCAGCCAAGU
rnacentral:rRNA from 1 species